ACGGAGGGUGCGAGCGUUGUUCGGAAUUACUGGGCGUAAAGCGCGUGCAGGCGGUCGAUUAAGUCCGGUGUGAAAGCCCGGGGCUCACCCCCGGAAGUGCGCUGGAAACUAAUCAACUAGAGUACGGGAGAGGGAAGUGGAAUUCCUGGUGUAGCGGUGAAAUGCGUAGAUAUCAGGAGGAACACCGGCGGCGAAGGCGGCUUCCUGGACCGAUACUGACGCUGAGACGCGAAAGCGUGGGGAGCAAACAGGA
rnacentral:rRNA from 1 species